UACGUAGGGUGCGAGCGUUGUCCGGAAUUAUUGGGCGUAAAGGGCUCGUAGGCGGUCUGUUGCGUCAGGAGUGAAAACUCGGGGCUUAACCCCGAGCCUGCUUCUGAUACGGGCAGACUAGAGGUAUGCAGGGGAGAAUGGAAUUCCUGGUGUAGCGGUGAAAUGCGCAGAUAUCAGGAGGAACACCGGUGGCGAAGGCGGUUCUCUGGGCCUUACCUGACGCUGAGGAGCGAAAGCAUGGGGAGCAAACAGG
rnacentral:rRNA from 1 species